CAUAAACCAGUAACACGCAUCUGACAGUCUGGAUCACCACAGCUCGCAUUCUUACAGAAGGGUCCAGUGUCUGAAUGAAAACAGCAUCAAAAUGGCUCUCUUAUGGCUCACACUGUUACUUGUUCAACAAGGAUAUACUUUUGCUCCAGUGGUCACAGUUGAACUUGGUCAGUCUGUAACUCUGACAUGUGCUUUUAGCAGAAAAUAUCAAAGCACCUCAUGGGUUUACUGGUACAAGCAACGUUCUGGAGAUACACUAAAUUUAAUUGUGAUGCUGCAGAGAAGCAUAACACCCAAAUAUGGACCACAGUUCUCUGCCUCAAGAUUCAAUGUUACAUACAGCGGGGACAAAGGAAGUUUGACAAUUAUCUCCACGGUUAAGCAAGAUGAGGGAAUGUAUCACUGUGCUCAAAUGGAUGCACUUGAACAUGCAUGGAAUGGCACAAAUGUAGUAAUAAAAGAGUCUGUCAAGAUGAAGGAAAGCUGUGCUCAGAGCAGGCAACAGAGAGAGGAAGAAAUAAGAAUGUACUCUUCUGCCAUUUUUACCAAGAUGAAAACCGACAAUACUGACACAGAGAAAACAUCUGAAAGAAAGAUGAUCUUCACUGCAGAAGCCUUCAGUAUUUAAAAAAUGUCUCAAAAACCUUGUGCUAAUUUAUCAGGUUCUAUUGAACAAUAUAUAACUUUAUAGAUUGAAUGCAUUGGCCUAACUUUGAUUAAACAUGAUAAUCUACUGCUUUUCAUUAAUUUACACAGAAUAUUAAGGUAUAGCGGAUAUCAUACCAUUGUGAACUUACCAUUUGAUCAACAAACAGAAAAUGUAAAGGAACCUCAAACUGGCAGUAAAAGAAAAAAUGCUUUAAGAUUGGUAUAUUUCUAAGAGCUAACUAAAGAUAUUUUUUGCUUUAAUUUUAAAUGCUGUUUUGUCAUAUGUUAAAUAUUGUUCCUAUUUUUUAUUAAUUCCUUGUUACUUGAUCCUGGUCGUCAAUUUUUUUUCUUUUUAAAAUUUGUUCUGAUAUGU